rnacentral:lncRNA from 1 species
CGAAAAGUGCUAAUUGCAUGGAAGGAUUUCAACUUGACAUCAAAAGUUUGGAGUGUUUCAAGAGAGUGUGGAAACCAAAGAAUUAAUACAAGAAAAUAUUAAAAUUAUAUUUUAGGGUUCGUUGGUCAUAUAUGAUACACAUGUAACUAAAGGCAUUUAUGUCUAUUUCUAUCUUAGUUAGACCUAAUAGUACAAAUAGAAUAUGAUGAACAUUUUUAAGGGAGA